rnacentral:rRNA from 1 species
UACAUGGGGUGCAAACGUUGCUCGGAAUUAUUGGGCGUAAAGCGCACGUAGGCGGUUUGUUAAGUCGGAUGUGAAAUCCCUCGGCUCAACUGAGGAAGUGCAUCCGAAACUGGCAAGCUUGAGUACGAAAGAGGGUCGCGGAAUUCCCGGUGUAGAGGUGAAAUUCGUAGAUAUCGGGAGGAACACCGGUGGCGAAGGCGGUGACCUGGGUCGAUACUGACGCUGAGGUGCGAAAGCGUGGGGAGCAAACAGG